rnacentral:sRNA from 1 species
ACCAGCAGCGGGCCGCUCAUCACUGUUGGUACCUGCAGACACUUCAUUCUAAAAUCCCCACGAUCAGUCAAGCAGUGUUAUUUUAUUCAUUCUUGACCCCGGGACAAGUGCUUCAAGUUGUCUUGGCUUCUUCAGACACACCACACCACAGCGUUCGUGUGUACAAAGUGAUUUUAAUUGUUCCUAGUAUUCUAGCCCUCCUCCCAGCCGAAGAAAGCAGCCACCUAUUUGCUUCACUUCCUGUAAACCUUUUCAAAGUACUCCGUACUCGUAAAUAACUAAUGCGUGAGAGCAAACUUUCGAUCAGCCGCCCAGUUUUAUUUACGCGAUGAAACUCUUUCUAUCAUAACAAAUAAUAGAGUCUUCCCUCAUUGGAAUAAGGGGUAUAGAUCGAACACUCAACACUCGUGGACAUCUCAUACGAGAGGUUUCAACAACCACUACCUGUGAUGAUAUGAUCCCAUACGCCUCGAUUCUUCUAUGCCACUCGAAAUCGAACAUCUAGAAGUGUUCGUGCAACCCAACAGAUCAUCCAAAAGAAACAUUUAUUUAACGUCAACAAAUAAAAUAAAGGGCCAGACAGAGGCACCAUGGAGAGAUACUAUCCCCUCAUCCUCCCCCGAAUCAUCAAAAAUGGAAGACCGCUCACCGCCUUCUUCGCAUAAACACCGUUCGUAACAGGAUCAAUUUCCGCCACAAUAACUUCGUCUCCACAAUCGGAUAUCCCAUCAGAUCUAUAAUCGACGAAUCCCCAACAAACCCUCCAGCUUUGCCAUCAUCCAGCCCAUCCCCGCUGAAGUUGGCUAGCAGUUAUUUGCAUAACUCUAAUACCAUAUGACGGAUUUAUGAUGGAAAUAUGCCUCCCGCUCCGCUGCCUGGUGAGCCAAACAUGGCUCCCCGUUACAGACACAGCUCGAAAUUGCAUGUUGUUUGUACUGUUCCUGCACGGCGCGAAUUCCACAACUUGGAACUCAUACACACGAAUGUUCCGGUCUCCUCUCCCCGUUGUGCCAAUCUCAGACGUUGCAUUGCGUUUUUUAAAAGCAGCAACGAGGAGGGUUUGGGACCCGGAACGCAUCAAAAACCGAGAUUUCCCAGAUAGAACGACUGUCAUUCUCCAAUUAUUUAGUUGAUUGCGUUGGGGUUUUCGAUGGUUCAUGGUCCUUAGCAGUACUUCCUGAUGAGUUUUCCCUUGCAAUCCUGAUAUAGUAUGUGCAUGUUUUCAUCAUUUCCUCCAUUACUGGUUGGUUUGGCGUGUCUAAUACAGACGUAGUCAAUGACCAUUUGUUUAUCAUGCAGAAUUCCUUUACUUUCUGCAUUUUCGUUCUUUGUUUUGUCAUCGCCUCUCUCGAAGAGUCUCCUCACCUCUGUUUGGUAUACUAUGUAGGCCUGGAAGAAGGUGGUAAAAUGCGAUUUCUCCAUAGAACUCGUAUUCUGUGCCAUCUGAUGUCGUUCACAGGUCUCAUGAGCAGUUGAAGUACAUAGUAAUUUUUUGCGGUUAGAGUCGGCUGAGCCAAGAUCGUUACAACUUCGCUUUUGUAAGAAAUUAGACCAAGCCCCA